rnacentral:rRNA from 1 species
CCUACGGGUGGCUGCAGUGGGGAAUAUUGGACAAUGGGGGGAACCCUGAUCCAGCCAUGCCGCGUGUGUGAAGAAGGCCCUCGGGUUGUAAAGCACUUUCAGUGAGGAAGAACGCCUGGUGGUUAAUACCCAUCAGGAAAGACAUCACUCACAGAAGAAGCACCGGCUAACUCCGUGCCAGCAGCCGCGGUAAUACGGAGGGUGCGAGCGUUAAUCGGAAUUACUGGGCGUAAAGCGCGCGUAGGUGGCUUGAUAAGCCGGUUGUGAAAGCCCCGGGCUCAACCUGGGAACGGCAUCCGGAACUGUCAAGCUAGAGUGAAGGAGAGGAAGGUAGAAUUCCCGGUGUAGCGGUGAAAUGCGUAGAGAUCGGGAGGAAUACCAGUGGCGAAGGCGGCCUUCUGGACUGACACUGACACUGAGGUGCGAAAGCGUGGGUAGCAAACAGGAUUAGAUACCCCGGUAGUC